GGAUAUUGGUUAAUGUGCGAAAGCGCGAACCAGCAACGCCGCGUGUGCGAUGACGGCCUUCGGGUUGUAAAGCACUUUUAGAAGGGAUGAGGAAGGACAGUACCUUCUGAAUAAGCCUCGGCUAACUACGUGCCAGCAGCCGCGGUAAAACGUAGGAGGCAAGCGUUAUCCGGAUUUACUGGGCGUAAAGCGCGUGCAGGUGGUUUGGUAAGUUGGAUGUGAAAGCUCCUGGCUUAACUGGGAGAGGUCGUUCAAUACUACCAGACUCGAGGAUGGGAGAGGGAAGUGGAAUUCCGGGUGUAGUGGUGAAAUGCGUAGAUAUCCGGAGGAACACCAGUGGCGAAAGCGGCUUCCUGGCCCAUAUCUGACACUCAGACGCGAAAGCUAGGGGAGCGAACGG
rnacentral:rRNA from 1 species